GAGAAGGGUCCAGCUGCAGGCUUGGGCGUUCCCGUCAUGACACAAAAACGCCCAUCGGGCGUUCCCGUCAUGACACAAAAACGCCCAUCAGGCGUUCCUGUAGCGUUUCAUCGAUCAAUCAAGAAGAGUACCCUGGCACAUGCUUUGUCCAAUGGACCAUGGAAGGGACUUUACUUGGCUGACGAGUACGCAAUGUAUUCUACCCUCAAAAGCAAUAUGAUUUCAGUGAGGGGGACAUGCUCUCUAUCAGGAGGUGGUGGUUGGACUGCUGUUGGAGACCUUUAUGCUUGAAAGCCCUGCAGAGCUAGCUGGCUCCUUCUCACCCUCUCCAUCUCCCCAUCUCAG